rnacentral:rRNA from 1 species
UACGAAGGGGCUAGCGUUGUUCGGAUUUACUGGGCGUAAAGCGCACGUAGGCGGAUCUUUAAGUCAGAGGUGAAAUCCCCAAGCUCAACCUUGGAACUGCCUUUGAUACUGGGGAUCUCGAGUCCGGGAGAGGUGAGUGGAACUGCGGAGUGUAGAGGUGAAAUUCGUAGAUAAUUCGCAAGAACACCAGUGGCGAAGGCGGCUCACUGGCCCGAUAACUGACGCUGAGGUGCGAAAGCCCAGGGGAGCAAACGGG